GUGCAGCCUCAGCCAGCGCUGCCCAGUGCGAGAGGAAGAUGAAGGUGGCUGUGCUCAGCGUGGCCCUGCUCUUCUCCAUCCUGCUGUGCCCCCCAGCACAGGCCAAGGCACUCCUGGAAGGAACCCAAGAUGAUCUCCAGGAGGUGGAUGUAGUCAAUGUCGACAUCCUGAAGACACCUCAGCCUGCUCUGCGUAAAAAGCUGGAGGAAGUUCUGCGGGUGAAGCGCCUGGCUGCCUCUCUGGAUGCCUAGGAUUGCGAGUUGUGGGGAC